GAUCCCGCCGGAGGCCACUGCUAUUGGGAUCCGAUUAAGCCAUGCGAGUCGAGAGGGUUCGGCCCUCGGCAGACUGCUCAGUAACACGUGGAUAACCUAACCUUAGGUGGAAGAUAACCUCGGGAAACUGAGAAUAAUAUUCCAUAGAUCUAGGAUGCUGGAAUGCAUCUAGAUUGAAAGUUCCGACGCCUAAGGAUGGGUCUGCGGACUAUCAGGUUGUAGUCAGGGUAAAGACCUGACUAGCCUACGACGGAUAUGGGUUGUGAGAGCAAUAGCCCAGAGACGAUAUCUGAGACACGAUAUCGGGCCCUACGGGGCGCAGCAGGCGCGAAAUCUUCACAAUGUGCGAAAGCACGAUGAGGGGAUCCCAAGUGCUGGCACGUAAGUGUCAGCUGUUUCUUAGUCUAAAAAACUGAGAGAGUAAGGGCUGGGUAAGACGGGUGCCAGCCGCCGCGGUAAUACCUGCAGCUCAAGUGGUGGCCGCUAUUAUUGGGCCUAAAACGUCCGUAGCCUGUUUAGUAAAUGCUUGGGUAAAUUGUGUAGCUUAACUAUACGAAUACCGGGUAGACUGCUAAACUUGGGACCGGGAGAGGCUAGAGGUACUCCUGGGGUAGAGGUGAAAUUCUGUAAUCCUAGGGGGACCACCAGUGGCGAAGGCGUCUAGCUAGAACGGGUCUGACGGUGAGGGACGAAGCCCUGGGGCGCAAACCGGAUUAGAUACCCGGGUAGUCCAGGGUGUAAACGCUGCUUGCUUGAUGUUAGUUGGGCUCCGAGCCCAACUAGUGUCGGAGAGAAGUUGUUAAGCAAGCUGCCUGGGAAGUACGGUCGCAAGACUGAAACUUAAAGGAAUUGGCGGGGGAGCACAGCAACGGGUGGAGCGUGCGGUUUAAUUGGAUUCAACGCCGGG
rnacentral:rRNA from 1 species